GGGCCCUUUUAAGGUUGAUGCAGUGCUUUAAGAGGCUGCCAUACAAGGGUAAAGGAAAUCUCCGUAAAGCCUGAAGAAGAGGGUUCAGGUGCUGGUGCAUCUAGCUGGGCACACACGU
rfam:Erinaceus europaeus unplaced genomic scaffold scaffold00003, whole genome shotgun sequence